rnacentral:lncRNA from 1 species
GGGAGAGAUAGGGUCAGUUUUUUCUGAGUUCUGAAGUUCGUAAUUAGUACCCAGAUCAUUCCGAAAUUGCGGUGUUAGAGGCAAAUGGGGGGUCGCUGGAAGCUCACCGAUGGAUUGCCCAGGAAACAUAUCGACCAUCUUGGUGACGUUGUCGUCGCUGAUGUUGUCCAAUCUGAAGAUACCCUUGCACACACCAAUUCUGUCCUCACGGGUGGGCGCCCAGUAGAACUUCUCCAUACGCCCAUCACGGAUCAGGGGUGCGUACAAAGUCGAGAAAUCGUUUCCGGUCACGAUGAUUGGCACACGAGGGAUCUCUUCCUUGUUGUACACUCCGGGCAGCUGCACGUUGGUGGGGCUGUCGGCGAUGUUCAUGAGGGUGGCGUUCACCAUCUGGUUGUUGACAGUGUAUUGGGUGGUACCUCCCAUACGUCCAGCACCAGCGUCGAGAUCGUUGAUGAAGAGACAGCACAUCUUACCCUUCUGGAUGAUGGCUGCAGCUUCCCUGUACCUCUGCCUGAUGAGCUUGGCGGGUUCUCCGGCGUUUCCAGACUCCAAUUCUCCAGCACUCAUCAUGAUAGGGCUGCAGACAUUGUCUUAAUUAAAUUUUGCCCCAGCGCCAUAGAGCAAAGUUUGAAAGUAACGAAGUCAUCGAAAUGUUUUACUCAAAGUAAGUGUCUGUGACAUGAAAGAAAACGGGAAACAAUAAGUUCAAACACAUGGAUAACCGAAAGUCGAUGGGACACGUCGAAAGUAUUUCACAUGGAAUCGCUACAACCGUUUGUCGGAAAGGUGAUUACCGCCAAGCGACCACCAGAAACAACGAAGUAACCAUCAAAAGCAGUGCAUGCUUUCACUUACUGGCACAUAGAGAUCUCGAAGGACAACGUAACGAGGCUGCUUAGCAACCCCCGUCCUGAACUGCAUAUCUUAAGGAACUCCUGAAGUAAGCAGAAGUUUUUACUCACUUGAUUCCGAGCUUCUUCAUGACCAGCUCACUCUGGAAAGACUUUCCCUGACCCUUACCACCCCACACGCCGAGGAUGAGAGGAACCUUAAUGCCCGGUAAGUUCAUGAAGUUCUUGCAGACGUGAAUCACCAGCUUGUCCAUGAAAGCAGGCGCAAUGUACAGCCCAUCACUCGUGUUGUCAAAGUUGUAACUGCACAAUUCGCAACAUCCGUCGUAGCACUUCUGUGAGCACUAGGAAUGACCAAGUUCUCAAGGCCCACUGCAUACCGCAAACUUGACUCAAGAACAGACAUGGUGCAAAACUAUCACAAAUUCGAGUAACAAGCAUAUUGUUAAGGAGAAGCCCGCGUACGUCCGUUGUGCAGUGCUAACGUAGUCCCAGGAGCUCAUGGUCACAACCUGGGUUCCGAGGCCCGUAGCGCCCUGGAAGAGGGCGUCCACCAUACCCUUCCCCCGCUGGAUGUCUUGCUGGUCAUCGGAGAUGUCAUUGCCGAGUCCAGCCCACCUGUCCACCUUCUUCUUCUCGCCCUCGGCCUCGCACACAACACGGCUCUUGCCCUUGGCGACGCCGAGGGUCACAUUUACGGAGACCUUGCUACUGCACCCGAACAGCGCAGAGCUUGGUAGAGUGCUCUUGCUAGUUGCCUGCGCACUAACUGAGGCCUGCACCUGCACUCCAACCAUGACAUGUUAGGAAUUUCCUAUUUAUGGUCACCACCAGACGCUGAGAUUCAAAAGGAAAUCACCCUCGGCUUAACACCGCUGCCAUGUAUCCUAAAUUGACAACGAUUACACAUAAGAACGAAAAGAACAACAACAACAACAACAACAACAGGUUGAGGAAGGAUGUCCGGAGAGAAGAGUACCUUCGCAACGGCGAUGGACUGCAUAACUGCGCAGCUGGAAGCCAUAAGGGCAGAUCGACUGAAGAUGCAAACCCAGCAAGAGCAGAACUAUUUUCUGAGACAACGCUGCUGAUCAACCUUCAUGCAAUCGAAUCCGAUUCUGAACUGCAGAUAGCGGCUCAGUAACCUUAUACCAAGUAGACAGCCUCCGAACGCGCGCCGUGUGGACAGAAAGGAGGAGGAGAUAGAACGCCAGGGCCAAUUGCGACAAAGCAACCCGCGGGGAGAUAUUUGCUUGGCUGCAAACCUCUUAAGCCACAGCAGUCGUCAGAUACCCGAACACAAAGUAAAUAACAGAAAUAAAAUUUACGGGGGAAAUAAAAACGGAAAGUAAAAGAAAUUCGCAACUGGGUAAUGGCAACAAUGUGGCAGAGUUCGCAGGAAUUGGCCGAGCACCGGAUAAGGCAAGCACAAUGCAAUUCUGCUGCACUUAGUGCCGCUAUCUCUCACUUCACCGCGACCACAAGCUGUGGCGAAUGUGGGUCCCGCAAAGUGGCGCUUGUGCUCUUUUUGGGGUAUUAAUUCUUCAAGUCCAGGCAGGCAAUCGAUGCAAGCGAGGCGCGAUGCUCCCGUUCACUCAUUCAUUCAGUCAGUCACUCAGUAAAUGGAGGCUCAUGGACGAGAGGGUGAGUUCCAGAGUCUCACUCGUCCGUUCCGCCAUCGCCCAACUUGACCCCGCAUCGAUUGCUCCGUUGUGGAGAGUGUGCUGGAGAGAAAGAGGGAGGGAGAUGAUGGAAAGCUUCAGGAAUAAAAGUAUUCUCAAGCUUUUUCCCCAGACAUUUUCCCCAAUAGUAUUUUUAUUUUUAUUUUUUGGGAUUCCAAUCUCACAUUUAACUUUUGUAAUGGUGAUUUUUUUAAUUAGAUGGUAAUAUUAAAAUAGAAUUGGAAUUUUGACAUCUUUUUAGUUUGAUGGUUGUACAAUAUUUGGUGUUAUUACAUCCAAAUCUUAUUACUUUUCAAUUUGUUUGUCGUUGUUAUGCAUGCUUCUAAAGUCAUGUUUUAAACAAGAUGGUAAUAACAAAAUUGGAUUUUUUGCAUCCAAUUCUUGAUUAGUUUUUAUUUAUUUAUAAUUAUUGUGCAUAUUUUUAAUGUCAUGUUUGAUAUAAAUAAAAAUUGAUUUUAAUUAUUUAGUAAAGACUUUUUAGGAUUAGUAAUUAUAUAACCAUUGAUUACAAAACGAAAAUUCUAUUACAUUUAAUUAAAAUUUAACAAUAUAAUUAUGGAAGACAUUGAUUUUUAAACAAAAUAUAAAAAAUUACAAUAUUGUGUGCAAAAAAAACAUAAUUUAUUGAUAUUCUUAUUAUAUUUUGUUGAAAUAUUUAAUAAAAUGGAGAAUAAGACACAUAAAUUAAAACAUCUUUAAUUUUCUUUUGUUACGUAAGAUCCAAAUAAUCAAAUUGUUAUGAACUGUUUGAGUUGUUAAAAAAAUCUGACUUUAAAAUGCAAUUGAAAAAGCACUUAUCACAUUUGGAAUUUUAAAUUAGCUAUCUACAAAGUAUUAAACUUAUACGAUAUGUUGUUGUAGUACGAAAUGGAAUUACUGAUUAGUAAUAAAACAAUUAUUCACUAAAGAAUUUAAUGAAUAUGCAAUUGAACUAAAUAAUCCAUGUACUACUGAGUCGCUCACGCUGGUUAUACUUACGCAAAUUUUGAAAACAACUUUGCUGAAGUAACAAUGUUUUCAUGAUUUCAGCGGAACAGUUACAUACAUACUAUCGUUUAUUGGAACAAACCACAUUAUCCACUUCAACAAUUUCUUCAUUUUAGCAAUUACACUUUGUAGGCAGUCAUCAACUACAACAAGAAAAAUCUCAUGAUCACAGACAAGCCGCAAUCUUUUUACAGUCUACACAAACUAUUUUUCCAAUGUAUAUGUAUAUAUGUAUGCACACAUUGUUGUGUACCGAAGUAGUUUCGGUUCAAAAUCUAUUCAGUGAAUGGUACAAAAUAGGUCACUGUAUGAGUGAAAACAACCGUUCUCAAUUGAACUGGAACAGACACUGGAAGAUUAUUUCUAUUUGUUCACAAACACAUUUCUAUUUGUAUUCAUACAGAGGUUAUAUUGACUGCUUUUCAUUAGUUCAUUAGUUGCGUUUAAAAUUAUGGAGUAAAUUUAGGUAUGAUCGCGCAGAGGGUAUAAAUUUAUUCCGCUGUAUUCUCUGAACAAAUCAUGCAGCUCCACUAGCAUUCAGUAUACAUUCAGUGAUGAUCGUUAGUAUUCACCGUUUUCAACAAAGAGAAAGUAAAAAUUAACUCAAAAAGAGGUGUGUUGCCGACGAUGAACAUUCUGAGAGGAGAAUGACAAGACAUAAGUCAAUGUGUAGUUGUAAAGCAAGACAACAUCGCAGGCAGCGAUGAGAGAAGUUGCACACAACCAUGACAUAGCGACACAAACAUGAGGUGAUUCAAAAAUCAGUUGUAUUAGGAUCACACACUCCGCCUGCAAGUGCCAGGCGUAAAAGUGCCUCUGCUGGAAACGACACCGCUACGCGAUGUCAUUGAGCUAAUUCACAGCAAAUACAUUUUGGUACAGAAUGGACACCUCCAGCUGCAGAAUGGGCACUCCAUUUCAGUGCGAGGACUGGGAACAGGGAGAUAUGGCAAUCCUUCACUUUCAUGCACGCAGGAUCACUUCAACACACCCAAGGCACUAGAUUCCACAGGACGCUGAGAUCAGUGCUAGUCUCAUGUCCUGGACACUUUGCAUCUCUAUUCCUUCGCUUGCCUUCGCCACGCCUCUCUGCCCACCGCGCCGCGGCGGUUCCUCUACUGGGACGCUGGAGCUUGGCCUCCGGCGUAGAAAGUUCCUUGCUUGAUGGCAUCGGCGUUGGCAUCUCCCAGUGCGGCGGAAGACAGAUAUUGUUCGGCGAGCUGUACACGCUUUACGUUCUGUUGCUCCUGCACCAACAUUUCUCCGUACUCCAUCAGCUUCUCGAUGGUCAUGGCGGGCUUCUCGAAGGUUGGGGGUCCGUUCUUGGAGUUCACCAAGUUCUUUCCGAUGUUCUCCACUCCCGUACCUGCGAUCCACUUCCUCACCUCGUCGUCGUACACACGCGCCCUCAGGGCACCGAAGAAAUCUGAGUUACGAGAUAGUUCAGGUUAGAAUUCAGUCGAAGCCACAGUUUCAAUAAAUUAAUAUUAAACCAGCAUCAUCCAGCUGAACGCGAGAAUCAGUAGGGCCUUUUAUUACAUACCGAU